rnacentral:piRNA from 1 species
UGCCAUUUCUGAUACUCUCUGUGAGGGU